rnacentral:rRNA from 1 species
AUACGGAGGGAGCGAGCGUUAAUCGGAAUUACUGGGCGUAAAGGGCGCGUAGGCGGUUUUUUAAGUCAGAUGUGAAAGCCCUGGGCUUAACCUGGGAACUGCAUUUGAAACUGGGAGGCUAGAGUUUGGUAGGGGGGAGUGGAAUUUCCGGUGUAGCGGUGAAAUGCGUAGAGAUCGGAAGGAACACCAGUGGCGAAGGCGACUCUCUGGACCAAAACUGACGCUGAGGUGCGAAAGCGUGGGUAGCAAACAGGAUUAGAAACCCCGGUAGUCC